rnacentral:rRNA from 1 species
UGGGGAAUAUUGCACAAUGGACGGAAGUUUGCUGCCGCGACGCCGCGUGGAGGGUGUAGGCCUUCGGGUUGUGAACUCCUUUUUCUCGCGAAAAAGGCACAGUUUUGGCUGUGUUGAUGGUAGUGGGGGAAGAAGCGCCGGCUCACUACGUGCCAGCAGCCGCGGUAAUACGUAGGGCGCGAGCGUUGUCCGGAUUUAUUGGGCGUAAAGAGCUCGUAGGUGGUUCGUCGCGUCUGUCGUGAAAGCCAGCAGCUUAAAUGUUGGUCUGAGGUGGGUACGGGCGGGAUUGAGUGCGGUAGGGGUGACUGGAAUUCCUGGUGUAGCGGUGGAAUGCGCAGAUAUCAGGAGGAACACAGAUGGCGAAGGCAGGUCACUGGGCCGUUACUGACACUGAGGAGCGAAAGCGUGGGGAGCGAACAGG